rnacentral:rRNA from 1 species
UAGGGAAUCUUCCACAAUGGGCGAAAGCCUGAUGGAGCAACGCCGCGUGUGUGAUGAAGGCUUUCGGGUCGUAAAGCACUGUUGUAUGGGAAGAACAGCUAGAAUAAGAAUGAUUUUAGUUUGACGGUACCAUACCAGAAAGGGACGGCUAAAUACGUGCCAA